rnacentral:rRNA from 1 species
UACGGGAGGCAGCAGUGGGGAAUAUUGCACAAUGGGCGAAAGCCUGAUGCAGCUAUGCCGCGUGUAUGAAGAAGGCCUUAGGGUUGUAAAGUACUUUCAUCGGGGAGGAAAAAACAAAACUAAUAAUUUUAUUUCUUGACGUUACCCGAAAAAGAAGCACCGGCUAACUCCGUGCCAGCAGCCGCGGUAAUACGGAGGGUGCUAGCGUUAAUCAGAAUUACUGGGCGUAAAGAGCACGUAGGUGGUUUUUUUAAGUCAGAUGUGAAAUCCCUGGGCUUAACCUAGGAACUGCAUUUUGAAACUGAAAUACUAGAGUAUCGUAGAGGGAGGUAGAAUUCUAGGUGUAGCGGUGAAAUGCGUAGAUAUCUGGAGGAAUACCUGUGGCGAAAGCGGCCUCCUAAACGAAUACUGACACUGAGGUGCGAAAGCGUGGGGAGCGAAACAGGGAUUAGAUACC